CUCCGCGCCGACCCGACUCGGCCGAUGCCGCCGCCUGCUGCUGGCCGCGUUGGUCGUUGCGCUCCUCUGGACGCGGGCGCAAGUCGUGGCGGGCUCCUGCGAUGACGACAUCAACGUCUUCGUCGAGUAUCUGGAACAUCUCUAUCGCUCACAAGCCGCCACAAACUCGGGAAAGAGCAGAUGGUCACUCGAUCUUUGCAAGACGGAGUUCAGGAAAGCGAACGGCAAACUUGAGGGCAAGUGCCCGAGCGACGCGCCAGAAGGCUGCGUGUUGCUGUCGCUGGGGCAGCGCAACGUGACCUGCCUCCGCAGGCUGGACCUCACCUACAGCCCCAAGCUGAACGCCGUGCCCUACUGACGACGGCGUGACGCCUGCCAAAGGACGACUGGAGCCGUCGCUGCCGCCGCAGAAGCAGCACCUGCGCCCGAGCUGCGCUGCACCAUCGCUCCUACGAAUAACAUUCUUAUUUAUUUCAUUUACCGUCCAAUGCUGUCGCACCACACAGUCAGAUUAGAGUACCAUAUCUUCCAUACGGAGUAGAGUACGUUUGAAAAUCUGUGAAAAUUGUGAAAUUUUAAAGACUGAAAAAUCACUUAAGUUAUAUCAGACUGGUAAAAAUAAGCUUGCAGGUAUAAACAGUCAGCACAAGAAACGAAGUGCCAAGAAGUGCUUGUUCUCGUAAUAAAAUGUUAUGAAUUCGUA